rnacentral:rRNA from 1 species
UUGGAGGGCAAGUCUGGUGCCAGCAGCCGCGGUAAUUCCAGCUCCAAUAGCGUAUAUUAAAGUUGUUGCAGUUAAAAAGCUCGUAGUUGAAUUUCGGGAUCAAAUUGUUGGUCGUGCUUCGGUACGCACUGGCAUUAUUGGUUCCUACCUUCUGAAGAACCGCGAUGUCAUUAAUUUGGUGUCGUGGGGAAUCAGGACUGUUACUUUGAAAAAAUUAGAGUGUUUAAAGCAGGCUUACGCUUGAAUACAUUAGCAUGGAAUAAUGAAAUAGGACGUUUGAUUCUAUUUUGUUGGUUUCUAGGAUCGACGUAAUGAUUAAUAGGGAUAGUUGGGGGCAUUAGUAUUCAAUUGUCAGAGGUGAAAUUCUUGGAUUUAUUGAAGACUAACUACUGCGAAAGCAUUUGCCAAGGAUGUUUUCAUUAAUCAAGAACGAAAGUUAGGGGAUCGAAGACGAUCAGAUACCGUCGUAAUCUUAACCAUAAACUAUGCCGACUAGGGAUCGGAUGAUGUUAAUUUUUUAAUGACUCAUUCGGCGCCUUACGGGAAAC